rnacentral:rRNA from 1 species
GAUGAACGCUGGCGGCGUGCCUAAUACAUGCAAGUCGAGCGAACGGACGAGAAGCUUGCUUCUCUGAUGUUAGCGGCGGACGGGUGAGUAACACGUGGAUAACCUACCUAUAAGACUGGGAUAACUUCGGGAAACCGGAGCUAAUACCGGAUAAUAUUUUGAACCGCAUGGUUCAAAAGUGAAAGACGGUCUUGCUGUCACUUAUAGAUGGAUCCGCGCUGCAUUAGCUAGUUGGUAAGUUAACGGCUUACCAAGGCAACGAUGCAUAGCCGACCUGAGAGGGUGAUCGGCCACACUGGAACUGAGACACGAUCCAGACUCCUACGGGAGGCAGCAGUAGGGAAUCUUCCGCAAUGGGCGAAAGCCUGACGGAGCAACGCCGCGUGAGUGAUGAAGGUCUUCGGAUCGUAAAACUCUGUUAUUAGGGAAGAACAUAUGUGUAAGUAACUGUGCACAUCUUGACGGUACCUAAUCAGAAAGCCACGGCUAACUACGUG